rnacentral:rRNA from 1 species
AAACGACUCUCGGCAACGGAUAUCUCGGCUCACGCAUCGAUGAAGAACGUAGCAAAAUGCGAUACUUGGUGUGAAUUGCAGAAUCCCGUGAACCAUCGAGUUUUUGAACGCAAGUUGCGCCCAAAGCCAUUCGGCCGAGGGCACGUCUGCGUGGGCGUCACGCA